AACGAACGCUGGCGGCAGGCUUAACACAUGCAAGUCGAACGCAUCCUUCGGGGUGAGUGGCAGACGGGUGAGUAACGCGUGGGAACGUGCCCUUCAGUUCGGGAUAACCCAGGGAAACUUGGGCUAAUACUGGAUACGUGCGAGAGCAGAAAGAUUUAUCGCUGAAGGAUCGGCCCGCGUCUGAUUAGCUAGUUGGUGGGGUAAUGGCCCACCAAGGCCACGAUCAGUAGCUGGUCUGAGAGGAUGAUCAGCCACAUUGGGACUGAGACACGGCCCAAACUCCUACGGGAGGCAGCAGUGGGGAAUAUUGGACAAUGGGCGCAAGCCUGAUCCAGCCAUGCCGCGUGAGUGAUGAAGGCCUUAGGGUUGUAAAGCUCUUUCGUCCGGGACGAUAAUGACGGUACCGGAAGAAGAAGCCCCGGCUAACUUCGUGCCAGCAGCCGCAGUAA
rnacentral:rRNA from 1 species